GGUGAGAUGUCCGAGUGGUUUAAGGAGCAUGUUUGGAAAAUAUGUAUACUAAAAAUAGUAUCAAGGGUUCGAAUCCCUUUCUCACCA
rnacentral:tRNA from 2 species